rnacentral:misc_RNA from 1 species
UCAUCAAUGUUCCAUGGUGGUACCCAGCUUACUACAGGAUGAUUAAUGCAUCUUUCACUACAAGGACCAAGAGCAAGUUUGUUUUUGCUGGUCCUUCAAGAUCUGCUGAUACUCUAUUCAAAUACAUAGCACCUGAACAAGUACCAGCACAAUAUGGUGGACUUAGCAAGGAGGGUGAAGAGGAAUUCACCACUGCUGAACCAGCCACUGAGGAAAUCAUUAAGCCAGCUUCUAAACACACCAUUGAAUUCCCAGUUACUGAGAAAAGCACAUUGGUUUGGGAAGCAAGAGUGACAGGGUGGGAUGUAUCAUAUGGAGCUGAAUUUGUGCCUAGUGCUGAAGGUGGCUACACCAUUCUCAUAGAGAAAUCAAGAAAAGUUGGGGCAAAUGAAUCAGUGAUCAGCACUAGCUACAAGGCAAGUGAAGCAGGCAAAGUGGUAAUCACAAUUGACAACCAAACUUCUAAAAAGAAGAAACUUGUUUACAGGUCCAAGAACAAGAUCUCAGAUUGCUGAGCCGCCUUUUCUUGUUUCAUAGAUUUUUCUUUUGGUUGAUAUCAACUAGUACUAUUAUUUUGAGCUUUUUGGGGGUAUUUAUUUAUAUUUUAUUGGGGUUAUUUUUUGAGCUAUUUUGCUGUUGGAUUGUUUUUUUUAUUAUAUGGGGAAUAUUUAUUAUAUUACAAAG